rnacentral:lncRNA from 1 species
UUCUAAAUGACCUUUAAAGAGAGUCUCUUCUGCUAAUACUUCAUUUAAAGAUUCAGGCUUAAUGUCUAAUUUACAAGCAAAAGAACAAGAAAUAAAAGAUUGGGUAGCACCUAUAUCAAUCAAGGCUCGAGCAGUGGUAUAUAGAUAGAAAGUAUACCCUAAAUAACAGCAGGAGUGGCGAGGGCACUAAGCACAUCAAGAUGGUAAAAACAUCCCUAGGCUACUGGUCUGGUCAUGUCCUUUGACAGCUACGGACAGUCUUUAAUGAGUGUUGAGUGCUUCUGCACUUGUAGCAGGCGUUGUUUAUAUGGCUGAUCACCUUGAAAGCAUCCACAGUGCUGACAUGGCUAUAUAGGUCGGGUAGAGUGUUUAGUAGAUAGGGGCAACUCGGGGACGUUGAUUGGGGAGGCUACUAACUCGAUCAAGCAAUCUUAUUCUUAAUUAGGGUUUGUGCUACUAUUGUUGGGUACGAACUUGGGAAAUGCAUUGGUGCUGGGCUGAGAUGAGA